rnacentral:rRNA from 1 species
ACUAAAGCUAGCCCAAAUAACAAACAACUAAACUACAAAGCAAGCAUCAAACAAAACAUUUAGUCAUACAUUAAAGUAUAGGAGAUAGAAAUUUUAACUGGAGCUAUAGAGACAGUACCGCAAGGGAAAGAUGAAAGAGAGUUCAAAGUAAAAAAUAGCAAAGAUUACCCCUUCUACCUUUUGCAUAAUGAGUUAGCUAGAACAACUUAACAAAGAGAACUUAAGCUAAGUCCCCCGAAACCAGACGAGCUACCUACGAACAAUCCCCUGGGAUGAACUCAUCUAUGUGGCAAAAUAGUGAGAAGAUUUGCAGGUAGAGGUGAAAAGCCUAACGAGCCUGGUGAUAGCUGGUUACCCAGAAUAGAAUUUCAGUUCAACUUUAAACUUACCCAAAACCCCAAGAAUUUUAAUGUAAGCUUAAAAUAUAAUCUAAAAAGGUACAGCUUUUUAGAUCAAGGAUACAACCUUACUUAGAGAGUAAACAUAAAUAAGACCAUAGUAGGCCUAAAAGCAGCCAUCAAUUAAGAAAGCGUUAAAGCUCAACAAUUCAAUCAACAUAAUACCAAAAGAACUCAAAACAACUCCUAACGUACUACUGGGUCAAUCUAUUCAAUUAUAGAAGAGACAAUGCUAAUAUGAGUAACAAGAAACCUUUUCUCCUUGCAUAAACUUAUAGCCGAAACGGAUAUCCACUGAUAGUUAACAACAAGAUAAAAUUAACUAACCAAUUAAUACACCUAUCAAACUAAUUGUUAAGCCAACACAGGAAUGCAGCCAAGGAAAGAUUAAAAGAAGUAAAAGGAACUCGGCAAACACAAACCCCGCCUGUUUACCAAAAACAUCACCUCCAGCAUUACUAGUAUUGGAGGCACUGCCUGCCCAGUGACGUAAGUUAAACGGCCGCGGUAUCCUGACCGUGCAAAGGUAGCAUAAUCAUUUGUUCUAUAAAUAAGGACUUGUAUGAAUGGCCACACGAGGGUUUAACUGUCUCUUACUUCCAAUCAGUGAAAUUGACCUUCCCGUGAAGAGGCGGGAAUAAAAUAAUAAGACGAGAAGACCCUAUGGAGCUUUAAUUAACUAACUCAACAGAACAAAUCCAGUCAACCAACAGGGAAUAAAAAUUUCUACAAUGAGUUAGCAAUUUAGGUUGGGGUGACCUCGGAGAACAAAACAACCUCCGAGUGAUAUAAACUAAGACAAACCAGUCAAAGUGCCACAUCAUUAAUUGAUCCAAAAAUUUUUGAUCAACGGAACAAGUUACCCUAGGGAUAACAGCGCAAUCCUGUUUGAGAGUCCAUAUCGACAAUAGGGUUUACGACCUCGAUGUUGGAUCAGGACAUCCUAAUGGUGCAGCAGCUAUUAAGGGUUCGUUUGUUCAACGAUUAAAGUCCUACGUGAUCUGAGUUCAGACCGGAGUAAUCCAGGUCGGUUUCUAUCUAUUAACCAGUUCCUCCCAGUACGAAAGGACAAGAGAAACAAGGCCCACCUCAACACAGGCGCCUUAAGACUAAUAGAUGAUAUAAUCUCAAUCUAACCAGUCUAAUCCCCCAUGAGUCCAAGAAACAGGACUU